UACGGAGGGAGCUAGCGUUGUUCGGAAUUACUGGGCGUAAAGCGCGCGUAGGCGGCUUUGUAAGUUAGAGGUGAAAGCCCGGAGCUCAACUCCGGAACUGCCUUUAAGACUGCAUCGCUUGAAUCCAGGAGAGGUGAGUGGAAUUCCGAGUGUAGAGGUGAAAUUCGUAGAUAUUCGGAAGAACACCAGUGGCGAAGGCGGCUCACUGGACUGGUAUUGACGCUGAGGUGGCGAAAGCGUGGGGAGCAAACAGGG
rnacentral:rRNA from 1 species